UACGUAGGGUGCAAGCAUUAAUCGGAAUUACUGGGCGUAAAGCGUGCGCAGGCGGUUUUGUAAGUUUGUCGUGAAAUCCCCGGGCUUAACCUGGGAAUUGCGAUGAAGACUGCAAGGCUAGAAUCUGGCAGAGGGGGGUAGAAUUCCACGUGUAGCAGUGAAAUGCGUAGAGAUGUGGAGGAACACCGAUGGCGAAGGCAGCCCCCUGGGUCAAGAUUGACGCUCAUGCACGAAAGCGUGGGGAGCAAACAGG
rnacentral:rRNA from 1 species